GAUUUUUCUCAUUAUAGGUCAUAUUUCCUGCUUCUCUGCAUGCUUGAUAACAUUUCAUUGGAUGCCUGAGAUUGUGAAUUUUGCCUUUUCUUGUGCUAGGUAUGUUUAUGUUGCUAUAACUAUUCUUGAACUUUGUUCAGGGACCCAGUUAAUUACUUAGAAAUUGAUGUUUUUAGAGCUUGCUUUUUAAGAUAUGUUUGGCAUGGCUAAAGCAGUAUUAAUCUAUGGUUAACUUUACCCCACUAUUGAAAUGAGAUUUGUCUGAGUACUAAAUGCCCCAUGGAUUAUGAGACUUUCUAAUAUGAGGCUGGUUUGAACAGGCAAUUUUUCUGGCCUGCUGUGAAUACUCUUUCUUCUAGUUAUUCCUUCCUUACUAUUGGGUAAUUUUCUUCACGUGUAUGACAAUACUUUGCCAAAUGCUUUAAUCAUCUGAAGAUCUCUAGAGCUCUCGAAUUACCUCUCAAACUCUCUCAAAGCUAUGAGCUGGAAAAAUGGCAGGGCUUACUUUAUUCGUUUCCAUCUUAUGACUAUCGCCUUCCUCAUUGUCUGAUAUCAAAUGUCUUGAAAAUCAGUGUUUAAUAUAUGUUGCCCCAUCCUACAGAGGAGUGGAAAUACAAUAUUCCACUUGUGUCUUUUGCUUCCCCAUCAUUUUUUAGCAUAUGAAUUUUUCAUAGCUUGAAGUGAUUUAAUAGGUCACCUUCUUGGGUCUCCUCAUUUUCAGAGAAAAAUCUUGUCCGUGGCAAGAGGAAAUGAGCUGCCCAAAGACUCACUGCAGUAAUCAUCCAAUUAUCUUUCUGGGAAGAUAGACAGUAUCUCUGUCUCUGUUUGCAUCUACGCGAUGCUAACAUCUUCACUCUAUCAGGUUUGGGAUUUGUUUCUUGACCUGGUGUGGGAGGACCACGGCUUUUCUUUGGGGUGUUUCAGCUAAGUUUUCUGUUUUAGUCAUUGUGCCAAGGGUUUCAAAAUUUGCUUGUGGGGAUUGCAACUUUCUUUCAACCCUGCAAACCAGUCAGGGCUCCACAGCCACUGGGUCCUAAUUGCUACUGCAGAAACAUUCCUCUCCCAUUCUGGUGACUGACUUUAGGUUUAUAACCCAAGACACAGAUGGACACUUCAACUACUUUGUUGCUUUGACAUGACUUAAAAAGCCACAGAAGCUAGUGCUUUUAUUCUGGGCUGGACUCAGAUAACUUUUCUCCAAAUCCUUGCACAUGUGGCCUGAGAAGCUUGCUGGGCCCACUGAAGCCUUGAUUACUGCCUGAAACUUUACUUCCUCUAAAUGUGUAUGACUCACAUUCACCACAUAAGGCCCUUUAUUAUCCAAAACAACAGUGUGGGAGUGGGAAGCACUCUCUAGGAAAUUAAAAAUGCCUAAGGUCAAGAAGAGAGCUCUGCAGGUUUCUGCUGCCCUUUUCUUUAUUUUAUACCAAGUUAGAUAUCACCAAGUUAUCAGCCAAUUAAUUUCUUUUUUUCCUUUUCUCAGGAGGGGAUAGGUCUCUUUCUUUUUAAUUCAACUUCUUUAAGAAAUCCUACUCCUAUCUUCACCUUAUUUUUACCAGACUUAUUCUGUAGCCGUCUGCAGAAGUUUUCAACUUUCCUUGACUGGGUUGGUAAAUUUUCUUUUUCUUUUCUUGAGAUCCAGAAUGAAGUAUGAACUUUAUUGUAUGUAUGAUUUAUUUAUGUACAUUCAGUUGAGAUAUAAUAAUGAGUUAUGUCUCUGAUUUUCUUUAUUACCUUGUUCAAUUCUUUUAUAAUAUUUAUUAGUAGUCAUUUUCCUCACUUAUACAACAGAUAUUUAUUAAAUAGCAAUUAUGUAGCUGGCAUUAUGAUAGAUAUGGGUAGACAAUGGUAAAUAGCAAUGCACGUCUUGUCAGGAAAUUUCCAGGUGACUGGUCUACUUUAGAGAAUUAAGAGAUUAGAUAGAGCUUGUUCAUCAAACCACUAAAAUUAGUUUCUUUUCAUUUGAGCCCCAUUAGGAAUUGCUGCUUAUGCCUUUGAUUCAACAACCAUGCAUUUCCUGGUGGGGUUGGUUAUCGUUUGUGUAUGUAGAGAAUAUCUAGGAGGCAUUAUUGGCUAUUUAUUUAUUAUUUACUUAUUUUCAUUUAAUUUAGGACUUCCAAUCCUGGUAUGGUCGAAUAAGCUCCUACUGAACCUAAUGUACCUAUAGGUGGCAGUUAUAAACUCUGAAAUACACACACACACACAUACACACACACACAGUGACCUAUAGAGAUUAGAAAAUGAACAAAAACAGGCAGAUUCUGAAGCAGGGUAGACAAUUAGACUGAGGGUAGCAUGGGGUAAAUUUUUCUUUUUAACACACUUCGAGCUGAGGAGCAGGCUAAAGUUGGCCCUAUUUGGAACAGCCAAAACUCCAAUAAACAAACAAACAAACAAAGAAACAACAACAACAAAACCAGUGUUCCUGCCAAAAGAGCCACAGGAUAGACUUAGGGGCAACCACAGUUGUUGGGAAGUGAGGGGAAAAUUCUAGAGAGGAGAGAUCAAGUGGGAAGGAGCCCCAGUUAUGUGUGUAUAUAGGAAGAGGAAGCAGAAGAUUUUUGCCUGUUUGUUUGUUUGGCCUCUAAGUCAAAGUCAUAGUUUACAUUUUAGUAAUAAUCAAUAGCUCCCACGUGAAGAAUUAUUAAGGGCUUGCCAGAGCCUAAGUAUAGUAAUAUUUUGUUCUGAUUUGGCUAUUGUUGUUCUUUGUGAGGAAUCUUACAGAAUUUGGGUAUUUGAAGGCCCCUAGCUUAGUAUAAUUAUUAUUACAUCGAAUCCUCAAGAUUAACCUCCAAAACACUGCAGUAUCUACCACAUGGCAUCCAAACAUUGACCCAAGCACUGGGCUCAUCCUUGCAGAGGCAUAAAUGAGCAUGAUACUAUCCAUGUUCUUAAGCUACUCAGAGUCUUAGAGCUAUUGCUCAGCCUGUUGGACAGUGUUAGAAGGCAUUCUCUGAGCAAGAAGUAGAUAUCAGGAUCCCUGGAUGGCCCAUUUGGCCCUAAGGAUCCCCGAAUUUGUAUCAUUGAGUUGACUGUCAGAGUAAAUUUAGAUGAUCCAAAUGUGAGAGACGGAUAAAUUUGCCAUGUUCUUAGAAGGAUAAGUACACUUGUUUAAGGAGGUAAUUAGUCUUCUCAAAGUAACAAAAUCAGAAGUUCAGUUUUCCUUUUACUUGUUAAAGAUAGUUUUCUAGCUCAUCUUUUGAAAAGCAAAGAGAUCUGACAGCUAGCAUUUCUUAAUGUUGUUUUAUAUGACAAGGAAAAUAAGGUAGAGGAAGUGGCUUCUGAAAACAAGCCUUUCUGAACUCAAUUCUUGGCUUUACCACUAAGGAACCCUAUGACUCAACACAAGUUAUUAUGCCAUAUAGGAUUAUUGUGAAGAUGGCAAUAAUGAAUACAUUUCAAACACUUAAAAUAGUGCCUCAAUAAGCAUUAUUUAUGAUUAUUGUUGAGCAAUUAAGAAACAUGACAAAUCCAAGGCACCUGGGUGGCUCAGUCGGUUAAGCAUCCGGCGCUUGAUUUUGACUCAGGUCAGGAUCCUAGGGCUGUGGGAUUGAGCCUCAGGUCUUCUGGCUGUGCACUGAGUGUGGAGCCUGCUGAGGAGACCCUCUCUCUCUCUUUCUCUUUCUCUCUCUCUCUCCCCCCUCCCUUAUGCCCCUCUCCCGCACUCUUUCUCUCUCAAAAUAAUAAUAAUAAAAUUAAAAGACAUUAAACAAUAUAUGAUGGAUCCAAAGUGGAUAAUCUGAUGUUGAUUUAGAUACACAAUGAUUGAAAGUAAUUUUAAUUCUAAUAUUUGUCUGUACAGCCUUUUCCCCUAACUUUAAAGGAAACAUUGCUAUUACUUCAACAAGACCAACGCUUCUGCAUAAAUGGAAGACCAAUCCUACACCCUACGCUACCAUGCAAAGGCACUCUGACUUAGAUAUUCACAUAACAUAUACUCACAUUCCUUUUUAUCCCUGAAAAACCAUUUAGAGACAACAAAUCAGAGCUGAACAGCAGCUUUCUAUAUUUGGUUAGAUGGAAAUUAUUACUAGUUGAGCUCUGUAUAGUUAUGGUUCAAGUUAAAAUAGUUCAUUGCUCAAACUAAGGUUUUUGUGACUAUGAACAUCCUAAGAAUAUGAAUUUCCUUAUAGUAGAAUGAACUAUACAUAUGCUCUCAGUGUUGCCGUUAUGAAUAUUUGUCUUGUUUUUGGUCAUUGUUUUCAGGAUUCCCAUCUAUAUAACCAUACACCAGAAUUAAAUGGUUAUACUAAGUACACAGGGAGAAGAUUGAAUAGAUUGAGGAAUCAAGAAAUUUUUUUUCCCCACAUCCAGUAAUACAGCAUGAAAAUCAUUUCCAACUAAUUUGGACUUUCAAUUGCAAUGGAUUCUCCUAUAAGGAGAAAAUGAGAAUUAUGUUUGACUUUCUGAAAUGUGUAUUUUUUUAACAUUAUAGAAACCCUCAGUACUAUUUGUCAAUAUUAAUUUUAAAGUGCCCUAUUCCCAUUGUAUUAUGAAUAGCGCCAUUUCUGAAGGUAAAGUAUAUGUCAUAUCAAAUGCUUCUAUCCUAGUUAGCAGAAAUCAUAAAGCUUCAUAUCACUCAUUAUGUUAUGGGAAUUCAUUCCAAAAAUAUUUCUUGAUUGAUAAUUGAUUUAAUAGAGCUAAGAUGAAGUUCAUUUUUGUGUGAAUUCCCUAGAAAGUAGAAGGAACAAUGACUUUGGAAUUCUGACAGGUGGUGAACAAGUCAGAAACAUUGCCUUUUUUUUUUCUUAAAAACCUCUCUCCAGCAACUACAUUUUGUCUACCAGUUGAGACUUCCCCAAAUGGAAGACAGAACAAAAAUCCAAAGGUGAAUUGAGUUGAUGAAAGAAGAAUAUGGUUCUCUAAUACUUGUAGUUAUUUCUAGUCUCACUGUGAGCUUCUAAUGAAAUACAAAUAUUCUUUUACUGGUCUUUAUCAUUCCACAAUGCUUUUUCUUAUAGAGUGAUUUCUUUCCUGGUAUCUAUUACUUACUUCUUAUCAUAUUUGUGUCAGGAGUAGUAAGAUUUAUAAUUAGUAACCAUCAUUGAAAUAUGGUUUUAUAAGUCGAUGCAUUUUAUGUUUUCUCCUACCUUUAUCACUCAUAAGAAAAAUGGAGCUUCAGACAAUAGUAGAAGGGCACCUGCUAAAACUUACUUGUACAAGGCACAAGCGGAAGUGUAAGGCAGGAAAGCCAGUAGCUUGCUGUGGUGACAAGUCGUGUUAACUCCCCACUGUUUCUUUUCUGCUUAGAAAUUCAAGACAGACUUGUCAGUAAUAAUUUCCAGACUAAUUUUUAAAAACCUGUGAUUUCCUCUUUUAUUAGUUUUAAUAAAGAAUCACUGCUCCCCUAAGCUUACUUGGAAAAUUAUUACCUAUCAGCAAGACGGAAGACAAACAUGUAUGAUAUUGACAGCGGUAGAAAGUAGGUCCCUAAUGAUGGCAAUUAAGAGGUGAAAGUUACUGUAAAAAUACAUAUAUAAUCUAUUCUAGAUAAGUUCUUUUUGAAGAUGUAACGUGAAUUCUAGAGAGUUGACGAUUGGAAACUAGUGGCGAGAAUCUGAUUUUACUGUCUAAGGUAGAAGCAGAUUUGCUUUGAUAAAUAGUAAAAUUGUGAAAUAGGGGAGAAAAGGCUUCACAGAACUUGAACCAGCCCAACCCAUGUAUCCAUUCAUGGAUAGAAUUUUCAUUAGCAAUGGUUUCUUUCUGUGAGAUGUAAGUACAUCAUUAUUGAGAUAUAGUAUAAAGACAGUGGCAGUCUCACUGUUUGCUGAAGUGGGGGUGAAAUCAUUGGCUUAUUUUACACAAAUGCUUAUGGUCCUCUGGUUAUCUGUAAUGAUUCAUAACUUGGUGGGACAAUAUAGAUCUGAUCUGGGAUUUGUCAGAUUUGUUUUGUUAUGACUACAGAACUUAAUACAUGGUGUUAGUAUCGGGGCCAGGCUCAACAUCCAUGUAAUUGACUUAUUGUACUGUACUUCACUAAGUGUGCAGGAAAUUCAGUUUGAUUUGCAGUCCAAUAAGUGUUAUGAUAUACUAGGCCAUUUUAUAGUGGUGUCUAAAAAAUAGAAGGCAGAACUAUGAACUUGAAUGAAUGAAUGAAUGAAUGAUCGAAUGAAUGGCUAGCAGGCUUGCUGAAUGAAUAAAUGGGUGAAUAAAUGGAAUCCAUUGCCUUUAUCAAGUCAGACUAGCUUUUCGAGAUCCAGUGGAACUUUAAACUCCUCUAAAGUCCACCUAUGCUAGGAACAUUGGGUGUUCUAUGGAGAGGUUGCGCUCCUAGUGGAUUAGUUUGUCAUGUAAGGUACGUGAGACUUGAGUAGUGUAAUAAGUCAGAAGCCAACCAAUGCUAACAGAACGUGUAAGGAGGAAAGUUCAAUAAUGAAUGAUUCUGUGUCAAAUGUGGUUAACAAUGUAUAAGGAAGGUGAGAUGGCCCCCAGUGUAAGGAGACCAGGAAAAGGGAAAAGGGCUUUGAGUCUGCUGUCACUAAAGUGUGUUUUAUAGCUUCCACUCUUCCCUGCCUUGUAGCUUAGCGGGAGAGACACCAAUUAUUGUCAACAUGUUAUUCAAUUAUUUUUUUAACCGUCAGCUCAGAGAGAAAUCAGCUCGAUGUCGACAUCAUUUUUGGGAGAGAUGGAUGGGGAGAAAUAAUUCAGGUUUGAAAGCAAUCGUCUAAAUUUACAGCUGUAUGUGGUCAAACAACUAUUGACGCUUGAGAGUUUCCAAUUGCUGGUAAUAGACUGGAAAAAAAGAUAAUGUGUUUGAUCGAUCAGCAUGAACAAAUUUCAUUUAGGGGAUCAAUAACAGUUUAUACUUGACAGAGCUGAGGGACCACAUUUAUUUUUCCCUUUGAUUGAAUAAAUGUUUUCAAUGGGACUGCAAAUGUAAAGCAAUCCUAACCAUUUCUUCACUUGAGGCACAGCUCCUGCUACAGCGUUAUUGCAAGCAAUGUGUAUUUAAAACUAAUAUACAGAAAAGUGGAUAGCCAGGGGCUGGAGCAGUUGAAUGAAACUAAUGUACAGUUUAUUAAAACACAACACAUGGUAAGAGAAAGGUUUCAUUUUCUUGGUGUUGAGCAAUGGAAAAAAUAGGAGAGAGACAUCACAUUUCAUGGUGUGAAGUUUUUUGGUGUGUUUUGUUUUAUUUUUGUCUCCCUCUCUUUUUAUUAAGAUUAAACCCUUCAGCGGAUGAAAUAAAUUCUGUAAAAUAUUCGAUAGCAAAACAAGCAUCAAAUACCUGUGACGGAUAACCCCAGGGUGAAUCUUUCCAUAGCACGUGCAGCACUGCCUGCCUUGGCCAUCUGCAUACACAUCUGGCUGGCUCUUUUUCCCUAGAGCCAUCUUCCCACCAAAUAUAGCACCGAGCUCUGAAAAUGUUUCUUAAAUGAAUAAAUGGUGGGACCAACGACUACCAAUAGUGAUUUCCUGCCAAAUGGCCCUAUAGCUGAAGUUGACUCAUGGCCUUUCGUCUGGGCUCGGUUGGCCAGUUCUGGGGUGUCUGCAUGGCGUGCAGAAUGUAAGCCCUCCUCAUUUCCUGGAUGGAAGAAUGGCAUCACAGGCCACGUGCAACUCAGCUAAGGACAUGAGCUAAAGGAGGGAGGUUUCCCACUGACCGUCUAGAAAGUGGUAGGUAGGAGUUUUGGUAGUUCUGGUCGCAAGACGAAACUGGCAUUUUAAACAGAAGAAGCCCCUGAUGGCUUUCGUUUUUUCUUGUAUAUGAAAGAGAAAUGGUUCUUCUUCUUUAAAACAUAGGUUUCCAACUGACACGCUGAGAGUCGUUUUGAUCAGCUCCGAGGAGUCUUUCCCCCGCGGAUAUUCAUUUCUAACGUUCCUAAAUGUUCCUGUCCGGCAUCAGAAAACGCAGAUUCUAGAUGCACGGCUUUUUUCUUUGCCUCGGUUUUAUCAGGAGAAAGCGCUCUCCGGAGGCCUUGGGUGAAUCUCAGGGGUAGUCGAAAUGACCCUCCCGAUGUUCCGCGCUUCCGUUCACGAAGACCUAGCGAUACCACUUACAGGGACACAGCAACCACGCCAUUGCGUGCAAAUGCUUCAGUUCAGGUGUCGCGCCGAAGAGAAGGGUGAAAUUUUCUGAGCAGAGAGUUUUCCUUCUCGGCACAACGCGUAACAAUUCCUCUCCAAAGAGGCUGGAGUUACAGCGCCCUGCAAUUAAGUUUCCGAUGAUACAGAUGACAGGCGUGCCUUGAAAUGUGGGGAAGAUGCCAACGGUGCUCUGGACUGGUGGAUGCCUUUCCUCUAAGUGGUGACUCAAGAAGCCGGACUUCUUCCAUCUUGUGGUUUCGUCGUCUUCAAGUAUGGCACCCAGAUAGCCGAGAUCCCCUUCCCGAGCUGGCAGAAAGAGGAAACGCAUGAAGGACCUUGUGUGGGAGGCUUUGUAGGUCAGUCACUUCCACUCACAAGUCAUUGACUAGAGCUUAGUUUAGUGGCCACACCCAACUGUAAGAAAGUUUGGAAAACAGUCUAGCUGUGUUCUGGGGAAGAAGAAGAAAUCGAUUGGGGACGGGUUAGCCAGUGUCUGGCAAAGCUGUGGUACUUUAAAAUGACAUCACAUUGCUAUGGCAGUGAUAAUAAACUCCGUGGCUGAUGUGAGAGGUCAUACAGGAAUCCUCCAAAGAAAUACAUUUAUUGGUUUCAAACUAAGAGAUUUUGAAUAACUGCACUUUGAACUGUCCGAGGUGAUGUGUACACUUUUGGAAGACGAUAUGGCAAAGGUCCCAGCUCUCUUGGAGAAUUGUUUCGUCCGGGGAGACAAGCGAUGCAAACAGAAGUCAGUUCUAGCGUCAACCUUAUGUUGGGUCUCUGGCAUUCAGACAGCUCUGGUUUCCAUCCAGACCCAAGGAAUGGUCAUGUUUGAAAGUGACUCAUCCUGCCUAAUAACGCUUGGCUACUGAGACACUAGCUAUGUAGGCAGUAGGAAGUAAAGGCUUCCAAAAAAUUCUGUUUUUUUGUAGUGGAUCCCAUAUUCUUUGGUUUUCUCAACAGAAUACUGUCAGUUUCGUAUAUAUAUAAAUGGAAGUGGCAUGGGUACAUUUAAAAUAACACAUCUAGCUGAAUCAUUAAUAUUUAGACUCUAAUCAUUAAAGGGUUUUAUACUUAUUUAAAAUAUGUGCUUAAUUCUAGAAGUCAUUAUUAUUACUGUUAAGCCCAUUAUGUUUACAACUCCAUGUCUCUCUGUUUUGCUCCAGUUGUCUUCUUGUCCUUUCUUUUUCCUUUUUUUUUUUUCUCUUUCUUGUUGUGUUCCUUAACCUCUGCCCCUUAAACUAAUAAAUUAAGUUCCCAGUA